CGAGAUUUUGGAUUUUGUUAACUUGAGAACAUUUGCAAGUGCAUGGUUACAAUGUUUGUUCCGGAAAACUUUAAACUAGGCCAGUUUCUUAAAUCAAUGCAAUCGA